rfam:Aedes albopictus isolate Foshan contig190383, whole genome shotgun sequence.
UGCCCAGCAACUCCUAUCCCUACCUUCUCGUGGUACCGGCCGGAAACUAUGAGC